rnacentral:tRNA from 1 species
GGGAGUGGAUAGGUUCUGGUGGACCUUGCGGACUUCAAAUCCGUGGGCGGUAAUUUAUCAUUACCGCGGUGGGUUCGAUUCCCACCCCUCUCGCCA